rnacentral:rRNA from 1 species
CUUGCUUCUCUUGAGAGCGGCGGACGGGUGAGUAAUGCCUAGGAAUCUGCCUGGUAGUGGGGGAUAACGUCCGGAAACGGACGCUAAUACCGCAUACGUCCUACGGGAGAAAGCAGGGGACCUUCGGGCCUUGCGCUAUCAGAUGAGCCUAGGUCGGAUUAGCUAGUUGGUGGGGUAAUGGCUCACCAAGGCGACGAUCCGUAACUGGUCUGAGAGGAUGAUCAGUCACACUGGAACUGAGACACGGUCCAGACUCCUACGGGAGGCAGCAGUGGGGAAUAUUGGACAAUGGGCGAAAGCCUGAUCCAGCCAUGCCGCGUGUGUGAAGAAGGUCUUCGGAUUGUAAAGCACUUUAAGUUGGGAGGAAGGGCAGUAAAUUAAUACUUUGCUGUUUUGACGUUACCGACAGAAUAAGCACCGGCUAACUCUGUGCCAGCAGCCGCGGUAAUACAGAGGGUGCAAGCGUUAAUCGGAAUUACUGGGCGUAAAGCGCGCGUAGGUGGUUCGUUAAGUUGGAUGUGAAAUCCCCGGGCUCAACCUGGGAACUGCAUUCAAAACUGACGAGCUAGAGUAUGGUAGAGGGGUGGUGGAAUUUCCUGUGUAGCGGUGAAAUGCGUAGAUAUAGGAAGGAACACCAGUGGCGAAAGCGACCACCUGGACUGAUACUGACACUG